UGGGGAAUAUUGCACAAUGGGGGAAACCCUGAUGCGGCGACGCCGCGUGAGCGAAGAAGGUUUUCGAAUCGUAAAGCUCUGUCCUAUGGGAAGAUAAUGACGGUACCAUAGGAGGAAGCCCCGGCUAACUACGUGCCAGCAGCCGCGGUAAUACGUAGGGGGCAAGCGUUGUCCGGAAUCACUGGGCGUAAAGGGUUCGCAGGCGGAAAUGCAAGUCAGUUGUGAAAGGCAGAGGCUCAACCUCUGUAAGCAAUUGAAACUGUAUUUCUUGAGAUGUGGAGAGGCAAGUGGAAUUCCUAGUGUAGCGGUGAAAUGCGUAGAUAUUAGGAAGAAUACCGGUGGCGAAGGCGACUUGCUGGACACAAACUGACGCUGAGGAACGAAAGCGUGGGUAGCAAACAGG
rnacentral:rRNA from 1 species